GUCCCGAGCGUUAUCCGGAUUUAUUGGGCGUAAAGCGAGCGCAGACGGUUUAUUAAGUCUGAUGUGAAAUCCCGAGGCCCAACCUCGGAACUGCAUUGGAAACUGAUUUACUUGAGUGCGAUAGAGGCAAGUGGAACUCCAUGUGUAGCGGUGAAAUGCGUAGAUAUGUGGAAGAACACCAGUGGCGAAAGCGGCUUGCUAGAUCGUAACUGACGUUGAGGCUCGAAAGUAUGGGUAGCAAACGGGAUUAGAUACCCCGGUAGUCCAUACCGUAAACGAUGGGUGCUAGUUGUUAAGAGGUUUCCGCCUCCUAGUGACGUAGCAAACGCAUUAAGCACCCCGCCUGAGGAGUACGGCCGCAAGGCUAAAACUUAAAGGAAUUGACGGGGACCCGCACAAGCGGUGGAGCAUGUGGUUUAAUUCGAAGAUACGCGAAAAACCUUACCAGGUCUUGACAUACCAAUGAUCGCUUUUGUAAUGAAAGCUUUUCUUCGGAACAUUGGAUACAGGUGGUGCAUGGUCGUCGUCAGCUCGUGUCGUGAGAUGUUGGGUUAAGUCCCGCAACG
rnacentral:rRNA from 1 species